UGUUGAAGCACUAAGCCUUCCUUAAACUACUAUAUAAGCAGAUAUUUCAUUACAACAUCAUGAAAUUUUCUGACAUGAAGCCCUAUUUACCACAGAACCAUCUGCAAGCUAAUACAAGCUAUUAAUGGUAGCUACAGCUGGAACAACACACAAAAAAAUAAUAAAAAAAACAAGUCAUUCACCCAAUCCAGCAAUUUCUCUGGCCCUAUGAAUGCUUAGCUUCUAAUUUUUAUUCGCCAUAAUUCUUGC
rnacentral:misc_RNA from 1 species